ensembl:miRNA MIR190B microRNA 190b
UGCUUCUGUGUGAUAUGUUUGAUAUUGGGUUGUUUAAUUAGGAACCAACUAAAUGUCAAACAUAUUCUUACAGCAGUAGGCAA